UGCCAUUAGAAUACGGAUGAUGAUUAGUC
rnacentral:piRNA from 1 species